rnacentral:lncRNA from 1 species
AUUUUUUUGUAAUGAAAGCAAAAUUUUUAUAAUAAUCCUGAGCAAAUGUAUUGACCAAAAUGUCUCAGAGGGGAUUUUUAUUUUGGUACCAGGAUUGAACCCAGGGGCUCUUUACAACUGAGUUAUAUCCCCAGUCCUUUUUUUUUUUUUUUUUUUUUGAGAGAAGGUCUUAUCAAGUUAUUGAGGGUCUCCCUUAAUUGCUGAGACUGUUUGGAACUUGCAAUUCUCCUGCCUCAGCCUCCUGAGCUAUUAGAAUUACAGUUGUACACCACCAAACGUGCAGCAGGGGGGAUUAACAGCAAAAAUAUUUACUCUACCUGGAAAACAACCUGACUCCUGACCUUCCAACCUCCUAUAGACCAUUCAUUACAAGGAGAAAGUUCUAUGAUUAUAAGAAUGUUAAUGAUAAAGAGAGCAAGCUAUAGCACUACAUGCACAGAAUGAGUCUGUUUUCAUUUAAAAUGUUUAUUUUAUGUUUAUGUUUUGUUAUUGUUAUUGUUUUGUUUUGUUACUGGAGAUCUGCACCCUGGGUACUUUGCUACUAACCUAUAUCCCCAGCCCCUUUUAAAAAAUGUUUAGACAGGGUAUUACUAAGUUGCUGAGGCUGAGCUUAAACCUGCUACAUUCCUUCCUCAGCCUCCUGAAUAACUGGGAUUAGGACAAACUUCACCAUGCCUGGCAUAAAUAGCAUAGUCUUAGUAGAGCAUAUAUUAAAAAGUAGAUGAAAGACUAGUUACCAAAUUGUUAACAGUGCUUGCCUGUGAGGAAUUGGGAAUGGGGGAAAUAACUUCCACUUUUUAAACUGUUGGAUAUCCACUUCUAAAUCCAUUAUUAAUUUUGCAGCCUAUGUGUGUGUGUGUGUGUGUGUGUGUGUGUGUCUGUCUGUCUGUCUGUGUAAGGGUCUAAGUUCCCUAGGCUGCCCUGGAACUUAUGAUCCUCCUGCCUCAGGCUUAAAAUAGCUGAUAUUAAUAAAAAAAAAUUUCUAUUUCUUUUUUCCCCCAAUAAUGGGGAUCCAAUACAGGGUGUUCUAUACCACUAAACUACAUUCCCAGCCCUUUUUGUUUUUUGAGAGAGGGUCUUGCUAAAUGCCUGAGACUGGUCUUGAACUUGCAAUCCUCUUGCCUCAGCCUUCUGGGUCACCCAACUUCACUUUCUUUUUAAAAAGCUAAGUUCAAAAGACACAGAUGAAAGAAUUUUCAAACUCCAUAUGGAACUUAUUCAUUAUUCAGAAAAACAGCUGGAGAACUAUUGUUUUAAAUAUAUGUUGAAUACAUACGAUUUUUACUGCAGACGUGACACAUGGCCCAUAGUCCCCAGAGCUGAACCACUGGUUGAGAGAAGUUGCUAAGGAGUGAGUAAAAUGACUUGAAAGAUCUAAAAAGUACAAGGAUGUGAAUUCAGAACUCAGAAAUAUAAAAAUAAUUUAACAUUCUCCCCCAUAGUCAAUACCUCACCAAGCCAGAUAUACUAUGCGCUAUACCUUGGUAGCUAUCAUUUAAACUGAAUUUUUUGUCAGAUGCUCUACACAUUCAAUAUCUCAUUUCUUCCUCAAUCUGGCACACUGUCCACCUCACUUCAUAAAUAAGGAAAAUGGAAUCAUUUCUAGAAAUGACUUUCACAGUAUCACAGAAAAGAAGUGGGAUUUGAACACAAGGCUAAAUGAUACUGAGACUUUAUUACUAUAUAAUCAAGUACACUAAGGACAGGCUUGAAGAAAAUCACAUUAUAAUGAAAUUACCUGUAUGUUACCAAUGCUGACAUCUUACAACUUGGACUUGGCCAAUUCUUCAUGGUUGCAUGCUUUUUCCCAAAAGACAGGGAGAAACAAAGAUUCAAUUAUUAUAUUCCAUCAUUUAUAAAAGGUCAAAAGAGAUUAUUUCAUGUCAUUUAUAAUUAAAUACAUUUGAAACAAAAAUAAAUUUUCAAAACAUGGGAAUGACAAAAUUUAGAUAUACCUACUUACCAAAUUAUUUGACAACCAUUACAUAUGUAGAUACAUGAAGAAAAGAAUGCAAUAAAGGCUUCUUUUUUAAGGUACUGAACUGAAAUUACACUACAUCCUUAAAUCCCACUCACUGAAUAGUAAGAAUGGUUUAAAACAGAAGAACUCACUCUAACAGAAAACAUGUGGAAUGUAUUUUGAAUCACCUCUUUAAAAGCCCUCUGUUCCUGCUGAAGGAUAGAAACAGCCUUUGGGACAAAAAGUCCCCUGUGUUUCUCCUUUGCUAGCAAAGCAAUAAACCUCUUUUUCCUCUUUCUCAAAAAUAAAUAAGUAAAUAAACAGAAAUAAGAGAAGAAAUCAAACACCAAGAACAAAGUAGAUGGGAGAUAUAGUAACUGACUGUGGUAAGAAAAACAAACCCCUGGGGACAGUGGUGCAUGCCUAUAAUCCCAAAAACUUGGGAGGAUUACCAAAUUCAAGGCUAGAUCUUGCAAUUCAGCAAGAUCCUCAGCAACUUAGUGAGACUCUGUCUACAAAUAAAAAAAGAAUUGGGCAUGGUGGCACAUGCCUGUAAUCCCAGAGGUUCAGGAGGCUGAAGCAGGAGGAUCCCAAGUUCAAAACCAGCUUCAGCAACUUAAUGAGUCCCUCAGCAACUUAGUGAGACCCUAUCUCAAAAAAAAAAAAAUACAAAGGGCUGGGGAUAUAGCUCAGUGGUUAAAAGCCCAUGGGCUCAAUCCUUGAUACCAAAAUAUAAAUAAAUAAAAUAAAAAGCUAGGGAUGUUGCUCAGUGCUAAAAGCACCUCUAGGUUCAAUCUCCAAUGUCACAAAAACCAAUUUGAACACAAUCCCUAGGAGAUUUAAAAUUUUUCACAAGCUACUUUCCAAAGUGAAACUAGAGAUGGGCUUCAAAACAGGAGGAUGGCUGAAAUGAUUAAAGAAUGGGGCUGGCAAUAUAGCUCAGUUGUUAGAGUGCUUGCCUUGCAUUCACAAGGCCCUGGGUUCUAUAGCCAGCACCACGCUCAACACACACACACACACACACACAUUUUUUUUUAAAAGGCUGGAAAUGUAGCUUAGUGCUUAUAUAACUUGUGUAAGGCCCUGUGUUCAAUCCCCAGUACUGAGGCGGGGAAACACAGAAAGCAGAAAACACAGUCUGGGGAAGGCCAAUAUCUCCAGAAAGAAAAAAAAAUUUUUUUUAAUGAAAAAGUGGGGGCUAGGGUUAUGGCUCAGCAGUAGAGUGGUCACCUAGCAUGUCAAGGAAGCCCUGGGUUCGAUCCUCAGCACCAUAUAAAAAUAAAUAAAAAAAAUAGAAGUAUUGUGUCCAACCACAACUAAAAAACAAAUAUUUUUAAAAGAUGAAAAAGUGGGCUGGGCACAUGACUCAGUGGUACUGUGCUUUCCUGGCAUGUAUAAGGUCUUGGGUUUAUUCUCCAACAUCAGAAAGAAAAGGAAAAGGAAAGGAAAGAAAAAAAGAGGAAGGGAGGGAGGGAAGGAAAAAAGGAAAGAAAAGGAUGAAAGAAAGAGAGCUGGGCACAGGAACACACGCCUGUAAUCCUAGCAACUCCGGAGGCUGACGCAAGAGGAUGGCAAGUUCAAAGGCCAGUGUCAGCAACGUGGGGACACCUUGUCUAAAAACAAGAAGAGAUGUGGAGGUGGCUCAGUGCUCGUGACCCUUUGGGUUCAAUGUCCAGUACUGCAAAAAAAAAAAAACAAAGCUCUUUACCUUCAAAGUUUGGAAUCAUAGGGAUAUACCUUGAUGAGGGUUCAUUUUCUUAUACUGCAUUGAGUACUUAUUACCCUGGAAGUUUGUUUCCUUCAUUUGGGGAAAUUUUUUCUUUUCCAGUACUAGGGAGUGAACCCAGAGGCACCUUACCACUGAGUUACAUCUCUAGCUCUUUGAAUUUUGAGAUGGGGUCUAAGUUUCUGAGUCUGGCCUUGAACUUGCAAUCCUCCUGUCUCAGGCUUCCAAGUCACUGGGAUUAGAGUGUGCACUAUCAUGCCUGGCAAAGACUUAAAAAUUCUGAAGGAAAAAUAUUUGAAAGCUAAAAAUUCUACACCUAGCCAUUUCACCAACUAAAUGUGAGAGUAAGAUAAAGGCCUUUAGAAACAGUUGAGAUUUCACUUUCAUGCAUCUCUUCUUAGGAAACUACCAGAAGAUAUGCUGGGGAGCAAGUAAACCAAGAAAAAGGAAGGCAUGUAAUCCAGAAAAUAGGGAAGCAACACAAGAGAGACGAUGGGAAUAUGCAGAUGAUAGUAAAGGAAUAUUCUAGGAUGACAGUAACAAAGGUAUACCAGAUAAUACAAAACAAGCAGACCAGACAGAAGAGACACAGAAGGCUCUUGAGAAGGUGAAGUGGAUAGAACAGUUCUUAAAUGUACUGAAAAACUUAUAGCUAGAGUAUAGGAAAAAGUAGACACAAGAGAUAGAAAGAAUAAGAAUCAUUCUUUCCUAUUUGGGGACAAUUAAUGGGCAGAAGAUGCUUAAAAGUAAAAAAUAGCAACAAGGCUGGUUACCAUGGCCCACACCUGUAAGUCCCAGCUACUUGAAAAGCUAAGGCAUGAGGAUCACAAGUUCAAGGCCAGCCGCAGCAAUUUUGUGAGACCGUGUGUGAAUGUAAAAAAUUUAAAAAGGGUGGUGAUGUAACUCAGUAGUAAAGUGCCUCUGGGUUAAAUCCCCAUUACCCACCCCCCCCCAAAAAAAACCCCAAAACAAACAAAAAACCCAUAAUAUCUUAUUUAUAGAUAUGGAAGUAAAU